AAAUGAAUAGACGGGGGCCCGCACAAGCGGCGGAGCAUGCGGAUUAAUUCGAUGCAACGCGAAGAACCUUACCAAGGCUUGACAUAUACCGGACACAUCUAGAGAUAGGUGCUCCUUCGGGUCGGUAUACAGGUGGUGCAUGGUUGUCGUCAGCUCGUGUCGUGAGAUGUUGGGUUAAGUCCCGCAACGAGCGCAACCCUUGUCUCAUGUUGCCAGCAAUUCGGUUGGGGACUCAUGGGAGACUGCCGGGGUCAACUCGGAGGAAGGUGGGGAUGACGUCAAAUCAUCAUGCCCCUUAUGUCUUGGGCUUCACGCAUGCUACAAUGGCCGGUACAACGGGUUGCGAAAUCGUAAGGUGGAGCGAAUCCCUAAAAGCCGGUCUCAGUUCGGAUUGGGGUCUGCAACUCGACCCCAUGAAGUCGGAGUCGCUAGUAAUCGCAGAUCAGCAACGCUGCGGUGAAUACGUUCCCGGGCCUUGUACACACCGCCCGU
rnacentral:rRNA from 1 species